rnacentral:rRNA from 1 species
AUUGAACGCUGGCGGCAUGCUUUACACAUGCAAGUCGAGCGGCAGCGCGGCCUUCGGGCUGGCGGCGAGCGGCGAACGGGUGAGUAAUGCAUCGGAACAUGCCCAGUCGUGGGGGAUAACACUUCGAAAGAAGUGCUAAUACCGCAUACGUCCUGAGGGGGAAAGCGGGGGAUCGCAAGACCUCGCGCGAUUGGAGUGGCCGAUGUCAGAUUAGCUAGUUGGUGGGGUAAAGGCCUACCAAGGCGACGAUCUGUAGCUGGUCUGAGAGGAUGAUCAGCCGCACUGGGACUGAGACACGGCCCAGACUCCUACGGGAGGCAGCAGUGGGGAAUUUUGGACAAUGGGGGCAACCCUGAUCCAGCCAUUCCGCGUGAGUGAAGAAGGCCUUCGGGUUGUAAAGCUCUUUCGGCAGGAACGAAACGGUGGGCUCUAACAUAGUCCGCUAAUGACGGUACCUGAAGAAGAAGCACCGGCUAACUACGUG